AAAGCCUGACGGAGCAAGACCGCGUGGGGGAAGAAGGCUCUUGGGUUGUAAACCCCUUUUCUCUGGGAAGAAAGUUGUGAAAGCAACCUGACGGUACCAGAGGAAUCAGCAUCGGCUAACUCCGUGCCAGCAGCCGCGGUAAGACGGAGGAUGCAAGCGUUAUCCGGAAUGAUUGGGCGUAAAGCGUCCGCAGGUGGCAGUUCAAGUCUGCUGUCAAAGACCGGGGCUUAACUUCGGAAAGGCAGUGGAAACUGAACAGCUAGAGUAUGGUAGGGGCAGAGGGAAUUCCUGGUGUAGCGGUGAAAUGCGUAGAGAUCAGGAAGAACAUCGGUGG
rnacentral:rRNA from 1 species